UACGAAGGGGGCUAGCGUUGCUCGGAAUCACUGGGCGUAAAGCGCACGUAGGCGGAUUGCUAAGUCAGGGGUGAAAUCCUGGAGCUCAACUCCAGAACUGCCUUUGAUACUGGCGACCUUGAGUCCGGGAGAGGUGAGUGGAACUGCGAGUGUAGAGGUGAAAUUCGUAGAUAUUCGCAAGAACACCAGUGGCGAAGGCGGCUCACUGGCCCAUAACUGACGCUGAGGCACGAAAGCGAUGGGGAGCAAACAGGG
rnacentral:rRNA from 1 species